rnacentral:lncRNA from 1 species
GGCACGCAAGCGUAAUAUAAUUUAUCAGUGGUCAUAUUUACUAUUUAAUUAAAUAGUUUGAAGAGUUUUUUAUUGUUUCACUGUUUAUGUUAUUUUCAAAAUCCAAUAUAAAAAGUAAAUCAAUUAAAACAAAAUUGAAAAACAAAUUUAGAAUAUAGUUUAGAGAAAUUCGAAAGUAUAGCUUUUUUAAUUUAUAUUCACAAAAAUAGCCCUCAAAGAGGAAAAUGAUCAAAAUAAAUU